CCUACGGGCGGCUGCAGUGGGGAAUAUUGGACAAUGGGGGGAACCCUGAUCCAGCCAUGCCGCGUGUGUGAAGAAGGCCCUCGGGUUGUAAAGCACUUUCAGUGAGGAAGAACGCCUGGUGGUUAAUACCCAUCAGGAAAGACAUCACUCACAGAAGAAGCACCGGCUAACUCCGUGCCAGCAGCCGCGGUAAUACGGAGGGUGCGAGCGUUAAUCGGAAUUACUGGGCGUAAAGCGCGCGUAGGUGGCUUGAUAAGCCGGUUGUGAAAGCCCCGGGCUCAACCUGGGAACGGCAUCCGGAACUGUCAAGCUAGAGUGCAGGAGAGGAAGGUAGAAUUCCCGAUGUAGCGGUGAAAUGCGUAGAGAUCGGGAGGAAUACCAGUGGCGAAGGCGGCCUUCUGGACUGACACUGACACUGAGGUGCGAAAGCGUGGGUAGCAAACAGGAUUAGAUACCCGAGUAGUC
rnacentral:rRNA from 1 species